rnacentral:rRNA from 2 species
UGAGGAAUAUUGGUCAAUGGUCUGACGACUGAACCAGCCAUGCCGCGUGAAGGUGACGGCCCUAUGGGUCUUAAACUUCUUUUGCAAGGGAGCAAUAAGGCGUACGUGUACGUCGAUGAGAGUACCUUGCGAAUAAGCAUCGGCUAACUCCGUGCCAGCAGCCGCGGUAAUACGGGGGAUGCAAGCGUUAUCCGGAUUUAUUGGGUUUAAAGGGUGCGUAGGCGGUCUGGUAAGUCAGCGGUGAAAUUUAGGGGCUCAACCUCUACCGUGCCGUUGAUACUGUCAGGCUAGAAUGCGGAUGCCGUGGGAGGAAUGUGUGGUGUAGCGGUGAAAUGCAUAGAUAUCACACAGAACACCGAUUGCGAAGGCAUCUCACGAAUCCGCUAUUGACGCUGAUGCACGAAAGCGUGGGGAUCAAACAGG